rnacentral:rRNA from 1 species
AUUGAACGCUGCCGGCAGGCUUAACACAUGCACGUCGAGCGAGCGGCGGACGGGUUAGUAAUGUCAGGGAAACUGCCUGAUGGAGGGGGAUAAAUACUGGAAACGGUAGCUAAUACCGUAUACCAUCAGAUGUGGACAGAUGGGAUUAGCUAGUAGGUGGGGUAAGGGCUCACCUAGGCGAAGAUCCCUAGCUGGUCUGAGCGGAUGACAAGCCACCAUGGAACUGAGACACGGUCCAGACUCCUACGGGAGGCAGCAGGGGGGAAUAUUGCACAAUGGGCGCAAGCCUGAUGCAGCCAUGCCGCGGGAGUGAAGAAGGCCUUCGGGUUGUAAAGCACUGUCAGCGAGGAGGCGUUACUCGAAGAAGAAGCAACGGCUAACUCCGUGCCAGCAGCCGCGGUAAUUC